CCCACAAAGCCCCUGUAGGACUGGGCGGAUAGCCAAACCACUCAUGCCUUUUACGAUAUAAUAGCAUUCUCCUCCCAUAUUAUAUUGCUACAAGAAAUACAUUUCCAGGCGUAAAUAGGUUCUGCCUUUCGUCCUCAUCAUCACCCUCUCCAGCACCACCACCACUACCACCAUCCUCCUCCUCCUCCUUUCCUGUCUCAUUCAUUAUGCCGGCAAGAUGUUACCAGGGCUUGGACACGUUCUUUAUGAUAUGAAGAUUUAAAAUGGAGUAAGCGUUAACAGGUCAAGAACCGUAAAUGUAGCGAUGUCAAUUUACCGCUUUCGCUAAAUGCAUGCCGACCAAUUAGCACUUCAGCGGACGACCAAACAAUGUUUUGUGGGGGGGAGCAUAUGUGUUUAGAGUAACCUUGGGAAACUUAUCGCGCGCAAGUUGGAUAUUCUCUUCUAACCUGCCGGAGCGUCGGCUCAAACUCUCUGGCUGGGGCGUUGCUCCGAAGACAACAGAAUGUUGGGAGAAUGAUUGUGGCUUUUAACGAACCAAGAAGAAAGAAAAGGGUUCCGGAAAUUUGAAUCUCUUUGAGUGAGAUCAAGGUAUCAACGUAGAUAGCAGCCUACAAGAACUAGAAGA
rnacentral:sRNA from 1 species